GAGUGAAUUUUUGUGAGUAUAAAAGGAAUCGUUUCUUUCUUCUGCAUUUGUUUAUCCAGUUUUCCAUAUACCAUUUGUUGAAGAGACUAUCCUUUCCCCAUUGGGUAUUUUUGGUUCCCUUAAUAUUAGUUGACCAUAUAUGUGGGGGUUUAAUUCUGGGGUCUCUACUCUGUUCCAUUCUGUGUAUCUAUUUUUAUACCAGUCCCAUACUGUUUUAAAUACUAUGGUCUGUGGUAUAGUUUGAAACCAGGAAGUAUGAUGCUUCCAGAUUUGCUCUUCUCAUAAUUUUGUUAUUUGGGGUCUUUUGUGGUUCCAUACAAAUAUUUAGGAUUUUUUUUCUAUUUCUGUGAAAAAUGUCAUUUGAAUAUUGAUAGGAAUAACAUUGACUCUAUAGAUGGCUUGGGUAGAAAUGGACAUUUUAACAGUAUCAAUCCUUCCAAUUCAUAAGCAUUAGAUAUCUUUCCAUUUGUCUGCAUCGUCUUUGGUUUCUUUCAACAGUCUUGUAGUUUUCCUUGUACAGAUCUUUUACUUCAUUGAUUAAAUCUAUUCCUGGUAUUUUGAUGCUAUUGGGAAUGGGAUAGUUUUAUUUUUCAGAUGUUUCAUUGUUAGUGUACAGAAAUGCAGCUGACUUGUGUGUGAUGAUUUUGUAUCCUACUAAAUUCAUUGAUUACGUCUAACAGUUUUUUGGUUGAGAUUUUGAGAUUUUCAAUAUGGUCAUCCCUUGGUAUCUGCAGGAGACUGAUUUCAAGAACCUCCACUGACACCCAUGGGUGCAGAGGGCUGACUGUAUCAUCUCUUUGCAAAUGAAAAUUUUACUUCUUCCUUUCUGAUUUGGAUAGAUUUUCUUUCACUGUCUUGCCUAACUGCUCUAGUGAGGACUUAGAAUGCUAAUAUUGAAUAAGAAUGGUAAGAGGGGGCAUCCUUGUCUUAUUCCUGAUCUUAGAAGAAAAACUCAAUUUUUCACUGUUGAGCAUGUUUGCUGAGGGCUUGCCACAUCUGCCCUUUAUUUUGUUGAGGUAUAUUCCUUCCAUAUCCAAUCUGUUGUGGAAAAGAUGCUGCAUUUUGUUAUAUGCAUUUUCUGUGACAUUUCUUUCAUUCUAUUAAUGUGGUGUAUAACAUUUAUUGACUUGUGUAUGUUGAACCAUCCUUGUAUCCCAAGGAUAAAUACCCCCUAAGGCUUAUAUUUAGUUGCUCCUAUAUUGAAUGCACACAUCUUUAUGAUUGUUUUAUCUUGUUUACCAAACCUCUUUAUCAUUACAUAAUGACAGUCUUUGCUGCUUGUUAUUGUUUAUUGAGUUUCCUCAAGACAGCAAGUCUGAAUUUUUUAUCUGCUAAAUCACAGUAUCCUGUGGCUUUCAGCUCAGGUGUUGGGGAAUUAUUGAUAUCUUCUGGGGUGACAUAUUUUCUUGUUUUUUCAUGUUUCCUAUAUUUCUCCAUAGCUGUUUUUGCAUGUGACGUAGCAGACCCCUCCUAAAAUCUUGACUGGCUGCCCUCAGCUGGGAUGCGGAUCCCUGGUGUUGCCACAUCAGGGGUUUGCUCAGUUUUGAAUGGGUAGACCUGUUCCACUCGUCUUGUUCUGUCUUGGGGCAGAAUUCUCAACCUUUUAUGUUUCCUCUCCUUAGAACUCCCCAGGCUGGCUGCUGGAAACCUCUCUUUUGUUUUCCAGAAGAUGGUGGCAUAGCUCCAGUUGUAAUUCCUCCCUUACUCAUGGACUCUAGUCCAUUUUCCUGAGCUGCUCCAACCACUGGGCCUGCUCUCACUGCCACACUCGGGAGAUGCAGAAGGAUCCGGCCACGGAAUGGGAGCAGUCAUGAAGGUCCCACCCCAAAGCUCUGGGUACUGCUGUGGGGGAAAGAGGUUCUGCCAGGAGGGACCCCAACAAUAGGAAUGGCCUGGCACUGACUCACUGCUUCCCACCUCCUCCAGGAGAAGAUGUCUGUGCAGCUCCUACUGGAUACAGAAGAUGCUGAUACACCAAAGAGGGAUCUUUCUCAAUAAGAUGGGUUUUCAGAGACUGAAUGAGGAGGAUGAAUGCAUCCCCUUCAAGUUUGUUGCUCAGCAGCACUGGCAGAUCUUUCGGUUCCGUGAUGGAUAACAGAGGGAGAAACCUUUGGAGCUUCUUUCACAUGGUAGCCUCUUACUCUUGGUGGAAAGGUAACAUGAUCGGUGGCUUGAUACUAGCAUUCAUGAACCCACGGGAAUUGUGAGCUGACGUUCUUCACUAAAGGCAAAGCAAAAAAAAGCUACCGCGCAAGACAUGUAGUUACCUAAAUUCAUAAAGGUAGGUAGGUUUGAUCCUGGGGUAGUCCCGGACCCCUGAGGAGGCCGGUCUUGUUUCAGGACACUAAACGUCUGAAUCAACAGGGAACAUGUCUAUGGGGGAUGGUGUGCAGGGCCCCUCAAACUGAAUCAGCCCUGUGGGGUUCUCCAGGUCGACCUGCAAGCCAAGCUCUAUGGCCAUAGACUACCAGGGCCACCUGGAGUGGAAGUGAUAAAACCACAGGCCAGAUGUGGGGGGGAAGGGACCCAGGAAGAAAAGAUGCAGACAUCUCAACUUCCCUGGACCCAAGGGCUGCACCUGUGCAAUCUGUCUAGUUGGAGGAAACCCAAGAAAGCAAGCCAUACACUUAGCAAAGUGUUAAAACAGAGACAGCCAAGUGCGAAGAGAGGGCGGGACAGCAGGAAGGGUGGGGACAGCGUGGGGCAGAGGAGGGGCCGGGCUGCGGGUCAACACAGGUAGUCAGACCACCACCAGCCACCAGCACCCCGAGCCGGGACACUGUGGGAAAAGGACAGCCGGGCCCCCUCGCCCUCAUUGAAGCAGAUGUCUCAUGAAGGGAAACAAUAAGAAAACAAAUAAAAUGAAUAAAUAA